AUUGAACGCUGGCGGCAUGCCUUACACAUGCAAGUCGAACGGUAACGGGCCUUCGGGUGCCGACGAGUGGCGAACGGGUGAGUAAUACAUCGGAACGUGCCCGAUCGUGGGGGAUAACGAGGCGAAAGCUUUGCUAAUACCGCAUACGAUCUACGGAUGACAGCAGGGGACCGCAAGGCCUUGCGCGGACGGAGCGGCCGAUGGCCGAUUAGGUAGUUGGUGGGAUAAAAGCUUACCAAGCCGACGAUCUGUAGCUGGUCUGAGAGGAUGAUCAGCCACACUGGGACUGAGACACGGCCCAGACUCCUACGGGAGGCAGCAGUGGGGAAUUUUGGACAAUGGGCGCAAGCCUGAUCCAGCCAUGCCGCGUGCAGGAUGAAGGCCUUCGGGUUGUAAACUGCUUUUGUACGGAACGAAAAGCCUUCUUUUAAUACAGGAGGGUCAUGACGGUACCGUAAGAAUAAGCACCGGCUAACUACGUG
rnacentral:rRNA from 1 species